GGUGUAGGAGAUAUAAUUUUAGAAGUGGUUUUCGAUAAGCUUUUCAUAUUUUUGAGUCAUUCACCGGAUAUUACGACGUGCCGAAAAAAAUGCGAAAUAUUGACAAUAAAUGUAAGCAUUAAAAGACGCUGUUAGAAAUGUAUAUACAUAUGUUUUUAUUUAUCAGUGAUCAGUGUGUACGUAGCAGCGACACAAAUGCUGCUAAGACAAAGAGAGAGAGAGAGAGAGAGAGAUAGAAAGAAACAAGCUGCAAUGCCGACUUCUCACAAAAGUUUCGAUACCAUGUUAUUGAAAUAAUAUAUAAUAUAUAUAUAUAUGUAUGUCGUAUCAAUAUUUUUAUUUUCUUUAUUAAUUUGCAUUUCCGAUAUUUCGUUAUUCAAUUAAUUCUCGUACCAUCACUGAUCUACAUAUGUAUCAUCUCUAGUAAGCGAAUUAAAGAGAAUGAAAGAUAACCAAAUUGUUGUUUUACCGUUAUAGGACUCCAUCCCUUUUCCUUUAUGUGUAUCUGUCUCACAAACCAUGUAAUAUUCGCGAGCCCAACAGAUCAUCUGUUCUGCGUAGUCUCGGCCUGACAAUGCGACAGAGUGAGAUGACUAUAACAUCUAGCAAGACGUAUUAGUAUUGAGCUUGGUAUGUAUCCACUUGAGUGUAUUGAAGAAGAAGAAAAAACGCGUCAUGUCAGAUCCGAGAAAAACAAGGCACGCGCUGCUGGGAAAAUAAAUGUGGAACCGGACGAUAAUGAAUCUACGACAUCAGAAGUGGGAUCUCCUCCACACCAAUCAACAGGGGAAGACCGUUUUGGUACACUGCUGGAAAUUCAACAUCGAUAUUUCAUGGAAGCUACAAAUGCGUUAAAAGAAGCAAAAUCAACGUCGGGCAAACUAAAUACAGUUAUAUUGCCAAAUAUUAAACCCGAUUCCACUGAUGCUAAUGCAGCCUAAUAGAGAAUGCCUUGGAUGGUAGUGCCUUACUUAUUGCGCUCAGUAAAGCAGUUGAAGGUGACGCUUCAAGCUGGCUGUCACAAAUCUGUUUUCAUGGAAUGACAUGGGGCGACUUCAAGGAAUUGUUCUCACAACAGUUUGAAGGAAACGAGACUCCAGCGGCUACAGUUUUCAAUGUUUUAAGUGGAAAACCAAAUGAAGGCAAGCCGACUAAUAACAAAGCUCAUGGUAAAUCACUAACACAUGAACAAAUUGCCAUGUCGGUCGUGCUGGCGCAUGCUACUCAUGUCGAUAGCAGACUACAAUGCACUGUUUAUACGGCCAAUGUUAACACACGCAACGAAUUACAAAACGAGCUAAGUUUUUUUUGAUUUUCUUAAAAAGAGAGAUCGUUCAGCUGAGGAAAACUCAACCUGUAAGAGACAGCGAUUGCAUACACCCGUAAUAUGUCACUUCUGUGGAAAACUGGGCCACAAAUUUGCGGAAUGUCGAUCAAGGAAGAACAACGCCAAACCUCUACAAGGAUCCAAUUCAAAUUAUGGCCAUUCAUCGGAUGUGAAGACUAAAGUCGUUAUAUGCUACAAGUGUGGGACUCCUGGACAUAUUGCAUCGGCUUGUACUGGACGACCGGAGUCAACUCAUUCAAAUAAAGCAGGCGAGAAAAGGGUAAACUUGUGUCAACUGACCGAUCCAAUUGGUAAUCUGGUAUCAUCUGGGAAGUCGUACUCAUUCUUUUUCGAUUCCGGAUCUGAGUGCUCACUCAGCGGCUUUCUGGCACACGAAUCAAUAAGGUUGUCGCUUUAAAGGGAAUCGGAGGUAGUGCAAUAACCAGCACUUUACAAAUUUUGUCAAAUGUUAUUAUUAAUGAAUACUCUCUUGAGGUUCCUUUUCACGUUGUUCUUAAUAGCUAUAUUAAUUACGACAUAAUAAUUGGCCGAGAAAUUCUAACCCAGAACUUUGGUAUUAAGGUAACAACCAAUACGUUAGAAUUAUAUAAGACAAAAACUGUAUACACUCUAUCUGCUUCGAAAAGUCGUGACAGCUGGGCCGAUAUUGAUACAGAGUUGUGUGGUUCAGAUAAGACACACUUGUUAGAAAUUUUAAGCGAGUUUUCAGAAGCAUCCAUAGAUGGUGGGCAUACAUGCAGUCUUUUGAUUUCGAUAUUCAGUAUAGACCGGGUGUCAAAAUGGCUCAUGUUGAUUUCCUUUCACGUAAUCCGGUUGCAAAUGAAGUAAUGACUCAAUCUUAUACAAGUUUAGAAAACAAACAUGUUUUGUUAGUUGCAAUAACUGACUUAUAGCGGAACAACAGAAAGACUCAGAAACGGCAUUAAUUAAAAAAAUUCAAAAUAAUGAAUUAGAAGAGAGUGUAUCAAAAACUUAUGAAAUACGUUCAAAAGUACUUUUCCGUAAAAUUCAAAGAAACGUUAAAACUAGGUGUCUUCCAGUCGUUCCUAGAUCUUUUAGGUGGUCCGUAGUGAAUCAUGUUCACGAAGCAAUCGUAUACCUUGGUUGGAAAAGAAACUCUAGAUAAGAUGUACGAGUUUUACUGGUUCGAGCAUAUGGCCAAAUACGUACGAAAGUUUGUAGAUAAGUGUAUUACUUGCAAAUUGACCAAAGCUCCAUCAGGAAAGUUGCCAAUUGAACUUCACCCUAUACCAGAGAUAGAUAUCCCAUGGCAUACAGUCCAUAUUGAUAUCACGGGUAAAUUGAGCGGUAAAAAGGAUCAAAAGGAAUAUAUAUUAUAGUACAAAUAGAUGCGUUCACAAAGUUUGUUUACUUGUAUCACACUGUAAAUAUUAACAGUGAAAGUUGUAUAGAUGCUGUAAAGUUGGCAAUAUCAAUAUUUGGCGUGCCAACACGUAUCAUUGCCGACCAGGGUAGAUCUUUUACUGGGUCAGGCUUUUGUGAUUUUUGUUCGAAACAAAAAAUAAAUUUACACCUGAUAGCAACGGGCGCUAGUCGUGCCAAUGGUCAGGUAGAACGCGUUAUGAGCUUGUUAAAACAAAUGCUUACCGCAAUCGAGAGUAGUCAACGAUCUUGGCAAGAUGCCCUAGGCAAAAUACAACUAGCCAUAAAUUGUACAAUAAAUCGCAUUACCAAAUCUAGUCCCUUAGAAUUACCUAUUGGAAAAGAAGAAGAAAUAAUAAAGUCGAUGUUAAAUCUGUAAGAAAAAUGGCCACAGAAAACAUGGUCAAGAAUGCGAUCCAUGAUAAGAAACGGUUCGACAAGAAUAAAUCUAAACUUAACAAAUUCAAAAUUGGCGAUUAUGUCUUGCUUAGGAAUGAGAAAACGGGAUCAGAUCAAAGAUUUAGAGGUCCAUUACUGGUGACAGAGAUGGAGAUAUACCUUGAAAUUCUUAGUAAACAAGCGAAUCUAUAAGUAUUCGCAUGAAGCCUUGAUACGUAUGCCAGAAGAAGAGAUUCCUAGAGCGUUGGACGUAUACAGUGAGAAUGAAAGUGAAGACGUUGAAAGUGACGUCAUAAGAUAGUUGGUGGAUUCCAACUGGGACGUUGAAAGAGACGUCAUGAGAUAGUUGGUGGAUUCCAACUGGGACGUUGAAAGAGACGUCAUAGAUGAAUUGUAAUAACAUUGAUGGACUUCAAUGUGACGAUCCAUACAUUUAGCUCCGGUAGCGCCAUAGUGUAGGGUUGCCAGUGCUGGCAGGUACACGAGUUAAUGUGUUGACUUGUGAGAUGUCUGGUGGCUAUCACUGUGGUAGAAUCCGUCAGGUUGAAUGUACUGGAUAUGAUGCUAACUUAGGAAUCUUCUGUCUGAUGGAUGCUGAAAGGUUGUUAAUUAUUAACAAUUAACAAAGUUUUGUAACACACGAGGACGUGUGAUGGUCAGGAUGGCCGUGUCGUAUCGAUAUUUUUAUUUUCUUUAUUAAUUUGCAUUUCCGAUAUUUCGUUAUUCAAUUAAUUCUCGUACCAUCACUGAUCUACAUAUGUAUCAUCUCUAGUAAGCGAAGUAAAGAGAAUGAAGAACCAAAUUGUUGUUUUACCGUUAUAGGACUCCAUCCCUUUUCCUUUAUGUGUAUCUGUCUCACAAACCAUGUAAUAUUCGCGAGCCCAACAGAUCAUCUGUUCUGCGUAGUGUCGGCCUGACAAUGCGACAGAGUGAGAUGACUAUAACAUCUAGUAAGACGUAUUAGUAUUGAGCUUGUAGAAAGGUCGCGUCAUGUCAGAUCCGAGAAAACGCAAGGCACGCGCGUUAUGCAACCAAAUCACCAAAGCAUUUUCAACGUAAGUGUCGCCGCCGCUUCCAUUGAAGAUGCUCGCCGCCGCUUCCGUUGAAAAUGCUCGCCGCCGCUUCCAUUGAGGAUGCUCGCCACCGCUUCCGUUGAAAAUGUUCAGCUAGCAACAAUAAAUGUUAGCAACAAAUACAUACAUACAUGUAUAUAAACGUUAAAAAUGAUCAGCUAGCAACAAUAAAUGUAAGCAACAAAUACAUACAUGUAUAUAAACGUUGAAAAUGCUCAGCUAGCAACAAUAAAUGUAAGCAACAAAUACAUACAUGUAUACAUGUAUAUAACAGGCAUUUGCAUAUGCCAAGAAAAAACUUUACAAGUAGUCUUAAGAUUCAUUCCAAACAGAAAAGAAGUUCUUAUUAUCAAUAAAGAAAAAUUAUAAUAUCCAAA